rnacentral:rRNA from 1 species
AGUGAACGCUGGCGGUAGGCCUAACACAUGCAAGUCGAACGGCAGCACAGGAGAGCUUGCUCUCUGGGUGGCGAGUGGCGGACGGGUGAGGAAUACAUCGGAAUCUACUCUGUCGUGGGGGAUAACGUAGGGAAACUUACGCUAAUACCGCAUACGACCUACGGGUGAAAGCAGGGGAUCUUCGGACCUUGCGCGAUUGAAUGAGCCGAUGUCGGAUUAGCUAGUUGGCGGGGUAAAGGCCCACCAAGGCGACGAUCCGUAGCUGGUCUGUGAGGAGGAUAGGCCAAACUGGUACUGGGACACGGUCCAGACUCCUACGGGAGGCAGCAGUGGGGAAUAUUGGACAAUGGGCGCAAGCCUGACCCAGCCAUACCGCGUGGGUGAAGAAGGCCUUCGGGUUGUAAAGCCCUUUUGUUGGGAAAGAAAUCCAGCUGGCUAAUACCCGGUUGGGAUGACGGUACCCAAAGAAUAAGCACCGGCUAACUUCGUGCCAGCCGCCGCCGUAA